rnacentral:snRNA from 1 species
UCUCUCAACAUGAAGAUUCCUU